CUAUACAUGCAGUCGAGCGAAUGAUGAAGAAGCUUGCUUCUUCUGAUUUAGCGGCGGACGGGUGAGUAACACGUGGGCAACCUACCUAGUAGAUUGGGAUAACUCCGGGAAACCGGGGCUAAUACCGAAUAAUUCAUUUCACCUCAUGGUGAGAUGCUGAAAGGCGGUUUCGGCUGUCACUACUAGAUGGGCCCGCGGUGCAUUAGCUAGUUGGUGGGGUAAUGGCCUACCAAGGCAACGAUGCAUAGCCGACCUGAGAGGGUGAUCGGCCACAUUGGGACUGAGACACGGCCCAAACUCCUACGGGAGGCAGCAGUAGGGAAUCUUCCACAAUGGACGAAAGUCUGAUGGAGCAACGCCGCGUGAGUGAUGAAGGUUUUCGGAUCGUAAAACUCUGUUGUAAGGGAAGAACAAGUACGUUAGUAACUGAACGUACCUUGACGGUACCUUAUUAGAAAGCCACGGCUAACUACGUGCCAGCAGCCGCGGUAAUACGUAGGUGGCAAGCGUUGUCCGGAUUUAUUGGGCGUAAAGCGCGCGCAGGUGGUUUCUUAAGUCUGAUGUGAAAGCCCACGGCUCAACCGUGGAGGGUCAUUGGAAACUGGGAGACUUGAGUGCAGAAGAGGAAAGUGGAAUUCCAAGUGUAGCGGUGAAAUGCGUAGAGAUUUGGAGGAACACCAGUGGCGAAGGCGACUUUCUGGUCUGUAACUGACACUGAGGCGCGAAAGCGUGGGGGAGCAAACAGGAUUAGA
rnacentral:rRNA from 1 species